rnacentral:rRNA from 1 species
AUGAACGCUGGCGGCGUGCCUAAUACCUGCAAGUCGCACGAAACUUCUUUAUCACCGAGUGCUUGCACUCACCGAUAAAGAGUUGAGUGGCGAACGGGUGAGUAACACGUGGGCAACCUGCCCAAAAGAGGGGGAUAACACUUGGAAACAGGUGCUAAUACCGCAUAACCAUAGUUACCGCAUGGUAACUAUGUAAAAGGUGGCUAUACUACCGCUUUUGGAUGGGCCCGCGGCGCAUUAGCUAGUUGGUAGGGUAAAGGCUUACCAAGGCAAUGAUGCGUAGCCGAAUUGAGAGGUUGAUCGGCCACAUUGGGACUGAGACACGGCCCAAACUCCUACGGGAGGCAGCAGUAGGGAAUCUUCCACAAUGGGCGAAAGCCUGAUGGAGCAACGCCGCGUGGGUGAAGAAGGUCUUCGGAUCGUAAAACCCUGUUGUUAGAGAAGAAAGUGCGUGAGAGUAACUGUUCACGUUUCGACGGUAUCUAACCGGAAAGCCACGGCUAACUACGUG